UUGAAGUCGAGAAUGAAAGGAAAAAUUGAAAUAAACUGUCUUAAAGGUUUUUUUUAAAAAUUACUAAUAUGGUGAAAAUUCCAUAAUAAAUUUUAAUAGACGAGAAGACCCUAUGAAUUAUAUUAUUAAAAGUUAAAUCGUUUAAUUUUAAUUUUUGUUGGGGCAACAAAGAAUAAAUAAAAAUUCUAAAUUUACUAUUAAUAUUUGAAGUUUUACUAUAAAUAAAUUUAAUU
rnacentral:rRNA from 1 species